GACAUUGCUACUUUUUUUUUGGCCAAGUUUGGAAUUUGUAUGAGAUAUUUCGAGAAUGUGUGUGAAAGUUCCAGGGUCCCAGCGUUCCUGAGAAACUUGGUGGUUUACAGAUGGGUCAGGUCCUGUGUGGACCCGCAUGGUCCAGUCACUGGAGCGUCUUGCUGUCUUGUGUGCAGAACCCUGGACCGGGUCUGCUCCUCGGGCCGCACGAGCUCUUCCUUGCCGGGCAGCGUUGUGCCAGGCCCCGUGCACACGGGCGUGUUCUCCCCCAGCCUUGGCCACAAACCACAGAUUCCUGUUUGAAUGAAGACGUGGCCUCCGCCGCAGCCACCUGCCCUGAUGGGAGCCCCGCGUGGGCCGGCCGGGCCCACCCACGCUAGGAUGUGGCCCACAGGGUCCUCUCUGGGGACAGCCCCCUGCUGCUCAGGGGCACUCGCGGUGUGCCACUGCUUUCUCUCCUCCCCUGUUGUAAGUUACUUCAACAAAAGGAUCCCAUCCCACAAUUUUGUAACCAUCACAAAACACAAACCUACUCAAUUUUGAUCGUCGGAGUCACUCAAUAAUUUUUAACAGCCAGUCAAACCUGCUAUUUAGAAUAAUGCAUUCAGAACAGUGGCUCAUUUACUGCGUGUUUUCCGAUUUUAAGCGAGUGUUUUGAUGUACGAAGACAGCGCUCAAGUGAUGCGUGCUCCGGCACCUGGGCCGGCUGGGCAGGACGCACCCUGGCUGGGGUCGCGUCUCCUGUUCGCUCUUCCACUGAUGGUUUCCCUCUCAUUGAUCCACGGAUGCUACUGAGUGCUUGUUGUUUUCGAUGCCAGGAGCAGUCGUGAGCACAUCACAUUCCCCAUGGACAUGGGCCACCUCUCCAGGAUGCGGCUUGAGUGUCCUGCAACAUUUGGAUCUGUGGGUUCCAGAUUCUAGGGGGGGGUGGGUGGUCUGCCCCGACAGUCCAGUGACACUUCUGGGCGUUAGCAGAGCUGUGCUUCGCCCCCUCCCUCCCCUUCACAAACUCUAGCCCUGUCACCAGCUUGCAGUUCAGGAUUCACUGGCCAAGGCCGGGCUCUACUGCCCCAUUGGCUGGCCACUUACUUUGCUGAGUGGAGACCAGGGUGGUAGGUCUGCCCUGAAUGAUUCUCCUCCCUCCCUCCUCCCUGGGUCAGGGACUGGGGAGGUGUGUGCUGGUAGGUGGGACAAUCCCCUAGGCGUUAAGGACCACACAUUUCAUUGUAUAGUCGGGCAACUAACAUCUAUAUCGUUUGCCUGUGACUCUCUUACCCAACUUCUUGGAUUUCUUCCUUGUUCAGUGAAGCUCCUUAACCAAUAAGUAAAAAUUAAAACCUAGAGGGAAUUUAAUAGUUAAGCCAGUAGUUACAAUGAUGGGAAUUCAUUUCUCGCAGUUCUGGAGGCUAGAAGUCAGAAAUCAAGGGGUCAGCGAGACUGUGCUCCUUCGGAAGGCUCUGGGAGAAUCCUUCCUCGUCUCUUCCAGCUUUCUGUAGCUCCCGGCAAUCCUGAGGGUACCCUGACUUAUGAUGGUGUCCCCCCAGUCUGCCCCCAUCGUCACAUGGCCUCCUCCUCUGUGUGUCUGUCUGCUCUGUGCCUGUGUGUUCUCUGGUUAUAAGCCACCAAUCACUGGAUUUAGGACCCAUCCUAAUCGAUGGGUUGCAACUUAACUUAUCUACAAAGACCCUGUUUCCGAGUAAAGUCACAGUGUGAGUUUCCAGGAGGACACGAAUUUUGGGGGACUCUCUUCAACCACCAUAGGAGAAAAAUAUGCCUUAUCGUUUGUGCAGCAGCUUUUAUUGAAGAUUGAAGGUAGAGACAUAGUAGACAUACAGCCUACCGUGAGUCAUAUGUGUGCUCGGCAUGCUUUGUAAAUAUUAGAUAUUGAUAACCGAUAUCUUGAUUGUUGAUAAUGAAUGACUGACAGUGUCAUCUUGGCCACUCGGUGGUUCAAGUGUGGCCAUCGCUAAUCCCACAGUGAGAGGAAGGAAUGGACCUGUCCUCCCGGACUUGCCCUGGAAGGGUAGGUGCUUACUGAUCAGCUGUGAGGAGCCUACAACUUGACCAUCCGGGAGGGGGAUACUGAAGAAGGGUCCCCAAAUAGCUCAUGCUCCAGAAAGUUGCAAUACUGUGAUUCAUUGAAGCAUCUUGAAACAAAUUGAGGUCAGUAAAUGAGUGGAGCGUUAGUCAUGUGGAGUGUGUUUCCGUGACAUUUGAUGACUGAAUAGCAAAAUAUUCCUCCCACUUGGUUUGGGUUAGAGUGUAUCAUCUUCAGUCUGGAGGGCCGCUGCCCUGUCUACGCGCUGUGGAGGCGCCAUCCAGCUGCGAAAUUGUCCUGCAGAGGGCCCACCAUCUACAAAGCAAGUGGCCCUUGUUGGAUGUGGUGGGGAAGGGGGUGCGGGCAGCUCAGCAGUGAGCAGCCGCUAAAGAUGGAAGGUGGGGAAAGGGACGGAGCUCACGGCUGCUUGGAUUUCACAGCCCUCUGCUUGGCUUCCCGCAGCUCCUACCCACUGCCCUGAGGUAGAUCUGCCCCUCAUAUUGGGGUCUCACCCUUUUCCUUCCCAGUGGUGUCUCCCUUCUACCAUGAGGGGCCUCAUCAGCAAGUGGGAGCCACUCCUGCCCAGUGGGGGGGAGGCAUGUACUCUGGGGGGCCCACACCAGGGAUGCCGUUGUCUGCAGGAGACGCAGGGGCAGGACCUGUGAGGACUGGCAGUUGUCCUGGGUGUGGUCUUGGUGGACCUCUUUCCUUGGGGUUCUGAGGAUGGGGUUGGUCCGAGGGCCACUCAGGGACAGCACAGGCCUUGUAAACCCCCCUUUACCUCCUGCUGGACUUGCGUGGCCUCUGGAUCAGGUGAUCAGUUGUAGCAUUAGUGGUUGUGGGCAGUGUGUUUGCAGCGACAUUUGUCAGCAGGGCCAGUAGGAAUAGCUGAGGAAUCUUCAGAUGUAGGAGAACGACACACGCCAUAUAGUUUCACUUUCAACACCAAUCACCAGUAACCCAUCCUAAAUUAGCCCAGGAGUCCAAAAAGUUUUUUUUUUUUUUCCAAUGCCUUUUUUAUGCACACAGUUCCCCUUUGAGUUUAAUUUGAAUGGUUUUGUCUUUUCUUAAAAUUAUGAAUAGGGCUCUUCAGGUGUGGUACAGUGCGGGAUCUUGGAAGGAGCAGGGCUGAUGGAAAAAAGAGGGCCAGGGGCAGACCAUUCAAAACCCACGCAGCCUGGGAACCAGAGCACACGCAAAAGAAAUCAUCGUAAAACAAAACAAGUUUCUAAUAAAUAAAGAAAUACUAUAGUAAAUAUGAGGCUCUACAUUGGGGAAAAGGCGAGCAACAGAAGCUUGUUGAGAUGCGGGGAGGAGCACGGAGCCGGGCGCAGAGGACUGGCUUCCCUGCGCACACUGCAUCCGGCUGGCCAGCUGCCAGGGCUGCCCUCUCGCCGGGCGCGAACGUCCACGUGCUGCAGGAACCGGUGGGAACCAUGGGGCGCCCUUGUGAGCUGGAUGUGGUUCCUUGCUUGACCGAUGGAGGACGAGCUGGACGCUGGCUUUCUCCAGCAGAGCACGGGUCGGUCGGGGCAUCGCGGCUGUGGGUCUUCUCUUCGGGGCUGUUUUGCUUGGUCAAUCUCGGGCCUGUUUCAGUCCCUUUUCCUGGUGAAGGAUGCGCUCUGGGUGUCCCACGCUCUAUGGCCUUGGUUCGAUGUUGGCUUUGUGUUCCCCCAGAUCUCACUUUUGUGACUUGGAGACAGUGGAUACUAGUUACAAAAGGAGGUCUGAGCUUAGUAGGAGUUGAUAAAUGUAGCUGAAAAAACAAAGAUUAUUUGACCUCAUUCUUUUCAAAGAUAAUAAUCCGGCCCUGAAUAUGGGAGAACUCCUCUUGGUCUCCAUCUCCCCUCCCCUCUGUCUCUCCACCUCCAUCUCUGUCUGUCUGUCUCUCUUUGUUCCCCAUGCCCUCUGUGUGUGCGUGUGCGUGUCUGCUAACACUAUAGGAGAGAAUUCUUUUAAAAGUUAAUGAAGGAGUUGCAGUGGAACCCUAUUAGAUUUUCCUUCCAUUAAAUGCCUGCUACAGACUUUUAAUGGAUGUUUUUAACUAGGCUUUGUUAUCAAAAGGACUAUUGCACAAAUUAAAACCAGGCCUACAAUCUGUGAAGAGAAACUGGAUUUACUUUUUGCCUUUAGGUAAAACAGAGAGGAGCUGGGAGGAGGUGAAUUCCACAUUGGUAUUUUGAGAGGUUGUAUUCAGGAAGAUAGCCAGUACUACCUAGAGCUAUGGAAAUAGUAAAACACUUUGCGGGGGUCUCUCUUUGUGAAAUGAAGGCAUUAACAGGAACCCUGGAUUUUUAGAGGUAUGUGAAUGUUAAUUUUAAGCUAUUAUAUUGAUAUUUAAAAUACCUUCUUAGCUUUUAUGGGGCUGCACUGUGCUUUCUGUAUUUAAGCAUGUGAAAGCUGUACUAAGAAGGGAAGAUUGGACUUUUCUCCUUACCAUAACCACAGUGUACAGACUUGCUAGAAACGGCUGGAUUUUUAGUUUCUCAUUUUAGUCCGAUUUAUUUGAUCUCAGGGUGUCUCCCCCUUUGGCCCUAUACAGUCUGUUUACUGAAACUGCAGAACUGCAGAAUUUGUGUUUCAAGCUUGGGAAAUUCUUGUCUUAUCUGGGGGUGUACCAGAGGACAGGUCCUUGUUGGAAGAGACCAUCACUCACAUUGUGUCUCAAAUUCUUCAUAAUCUUGGCACUGAGCAAACGAUGCCAAGUUCCGUAACGCUGCCCGCCGCGUCUACCAUAACGGAGAAAAGUAAUGAGUUCUUGUACUCAGCGUCCUGAUUAUUACAUCUCAGCUAGCCUUUGUCUCUGACUUCUAUUAAGACAGUUUUCUGAAACAAAAUCCGCGGCCUGGAGCGCCCCGCCCCCAUGAAUGUGUGCGCCCAUCCUGUCCGUCACCACCAGCCAGGGGGGCGCCCUUACCUUAUAAGUAUCCCACCAAGAUGCGUGUUUCGAAUUUUACUUCCCCUACGCCAGACGUCUUGAAGAGAAGGUCCAACACAGAGCAUUUGUGAGUUGGGCCUUUCCCGCGACAGACAGGAUCCAGUUCUCCGGCGGGAAGUCGCCGAGAUGCGUGCACCGCGCGGGGCUGUCUCGCUGCCUGCCACAACGCACAAAACUAGUGUAAUUGAAAGAAUAAUUUGAUCUGCUGCUGCUACAGGAGAAGAGCUUGAGAUGUGGCAAAUUUUCUCUCCUUUCCUCCAAAUUCAAGAAUUUAAUGCUAGCAGGUGAAGUUCUGAAGGCUACUAUCAAGUAUACAGAGACAAUAACUGUCUUCAAAGCGGAAUUUUGUCAAUAUUUUUUGCUGUGGGCCAAAGAACAUUCACGGUAAUGGAGUACUGAGGCUCGACAUGGAGAUGUUGAGGCGAGCAAGGGCCUGGAGGAUUUAUUCCGAGUUUGAGCCCGCAGUAAUUUGGCGGUAUAUAUGGCUUCUUCAGAAUCUUGGCUCUGGCAAACGGAGGCGCCCGAACACGGUGCUGUCUUCGGCCAGCGCCCUGGCAGGUGUGCUGCGCGGGGCCGGCGAGGCGGCAGAAGGCCCCCUGGCUGGCAGCUUCUCUUCUGACGGUCCCAUCAGCCCACCGCCGGCUCCCCAGCUUCAGCAGGUGCCAGUGUUUGUGGACGGAUGAAGCACACGGCACGGGUGCCGGACAUCGGCCAGGCCGUGGCCGUGACCUUGUGUUGGCGGUCGGCGGUGCAGCCGCCUCUCCUCCGCACAGCUGCCGGGGCCGCGGUCUCCCCGGCUGGCUGAAGCGCCAUGUCCCUGCUUCUCAAGAUGCCAUCGUGCCAGGCCUUCGUGGGAAGUUGGUUGAAGAACAGACGGCACAACCCACAAGAUCAAAUGGCCUUUGUGACUUAAGACAGAUGUGAGGUUCAGGGCACCGACGCCCUUGCCUCCUGAGUUACCUGACUUCAAAAGGAGUCACCCCUCCAAUUGCAGUUUGGAAAGCACCCUUCCCCUCGCUGGGUCUGUGAGAGCUGGUGUGUGCACGGUGAAGGCCCAUCUGGGAAAGCAGUUUUCUGAUACAGAGGGGAUGCCAGUUUUGUCCUUUUGCUAAUAUUCUGUGUAUUUAGUAUAAUUAGGGAAAGAGAAGAGUAGCCACACAUCCACGGAACAAUGAAACAACAGCUUGGUCCUUCUCUUGAAGUGUGAAAAAUAGGGGCGACUUUAUCAUUAAAUGUGCUUGUUGCUGUGCUCAUUUGAAAUGUUUAGACUUUACCUUUUUUUUUUUAAAGCUUCCUGUUCAUUUUAAUGGAAAAGGGUGAUAGCUGAGGAUUUUAUUUGUUCAGAGCCACGGUGCUGGCAAAGUGAAAGUAAACCGUAGACUUCCGGCUGCAUUUAAAACCCAGAAAAAACAGAACUCUGUUUUCUAAGAUACAAAGAUAAGGGCAGUAGUCAAAUGCAUUUUUUGGGAAGAAAUUUCAAACAACAGAAACCACCCAGAACUAUUUUUUAUUGAGGGUAGCUAUGAAAAAUAUAUGCAAGCUUACAAAAAUGUUUCUAGCCCUGAAAAAUAUGCAUCCACCCACCAGACAGGCCGUCCAUCAUGCUCGCGGACGGCGUCCGAAUCGUGGCUCAUCGCCAUAUCAGUGCCUUUAAUGACUGCGUUCUUGUUCACGUGUCAAAUUCUUACUUGGGUCCGACUUGAUAAUUCUGCUGGCUCUUAAUGAAGACUUUUUCCCUUCAGAAGUAUCAUGGCAUGAAGUUUCAUGUGGAAUGUGAUAAAAGUGUAUUCAUCCCUAGGUUAGUUUAGAAAGUACGAAAUUUGCGUCCACAUAUUUCUUUUAUGCUCAUAUUCAUGUGUGCAUUUCAGACACUAAUAUGGGAUUGUUUGGUACUCCUUUAUCAUUAUGUGUCAUUCGAAGAUUAUUUAUCAUGAUGAGGUAGAGAAAUAGUGAACUCAGAAAUGUGGAGACUAAAAAUAUAAAUUUAUUUCUGUAAAUACAGUGGAUAGUUAAUUGGCCUACAUUAAUGGAGGUCUGAAGUAAAAGAAGAUAGAAAAAC